AAAAAAAAACUUGUGUUGGAUCUCAACACAAGUACUUGUGUGAAAAUUAUUCUACACAAGUUAUGUGUUGUUUUGCAUUGCAUUAACACAAACUUGUGUUCUUUUUAAUGCAUUAACACAAAUCUUGUGUUUUUUCCAUAUAAUUAACACAAGUAAUGUGUACCGUCAACAAAUAUUUUUUUUUUUAAAUUUGAACUCCAUACAAAGUCUUAAUCCGGGGGUCCACAAGUAAGAGAAAGGUAUUUUUUACUCAGACAAUAUAGCCAGACAGACUUGAAUGCUAAUUGGUGUUAAGAUGUCUGUAGUUAAAAUAAAGUUGGGCCCAAUAAACUGGUAGAUCCAAGGCCUGUUGAGCGCUCAUGCCCGGUGUGAUUUUAACAAUUGACUCCAAAUGCGUUGACAAGAAAAUAAGUAAAACUGUUAUUGAAUGUGAUUGGUUGAUAAAAUCAACGUACUAUAGGCUACAUUUUGUCUGCGAUAUCAUCUCGGUGGAAGCGGACAUUAAAUGAAGUGAUUUCACACAAUUAAUUUAACAUUUAACAACGUGCUGAAAUGAUUUUGGAGCAGUGAUAUGUUUGACAAAUGUAAGCUAAUGGUCACAUAGAAUACAAGACCGCAGGUUUGUGAAUAUUUAUAUAAAAAAAAUAAUACCAUGUAUGUAAUUUAGCAUCGAUAUUGUUUCUCUGUAUAAUAUUAGUAUUUCGUUUCCUUAAAAAAAACUCCAACAAUUUAAACCGGAAGUUCAUGUUUAUAAUAUGGCGCGUUCAGGAAAAAAAUUUCGGCAUGUUAUUAUCAAAUCUGUUCAAUUUUUCUGAAAUCAUGCUUAAUUAACAUUAGUUGUUCGGCGCUACGAUGUUGUUCAAAUACUUACAUUACAGAAUCACAUUAUGAUUAAAGCAGAAACGGUUCGACUUGAACCAGCAGUUUCAAUAUUGGAUGUAUAUGCAAAUCACCCAGAAAAAGAUCAUGUAAUAACAAAAGAAAUUAUAAAAGAAAAAAAGGAAGAAGAAAUGGCUGGAAAAAAUGAUGAUAGAGCAUCUUUUUCUUGUUACCCACCUCGGAAGAUCAAGUUGGAAAGGGCUAUUGAUAUUGUGGAGACGUUUUCUCACAGAUCUUGCUUAUCAGAUAAAGACUAUGCUGGAACACCAUUGAAAGAGUAUUUGCUGUAUGAUAACAACAAGAAAACCCAAGCAUCAAUUUAUUUUAUACUUCUGGGAAAGAAUGCAUUUGACCCAAUUUUUAAAUAUUUAUUUUUUGUUAUUAAUGUUAAAUUUUCUUCCAAAACACAAUUAGAUUUUAAUUCUCUUCAGAAAUGUAUGUAUAAUAUAGCAAGUAAAGUGGCAUAUAAAUCACUUAGAAUUCGGUCAGAAAUCAUAAAGUAUUUAAUAGGCAUUACUAGAAACCAAAUGUAGAUCAAAUACACCCAGAAUUACAAAAAACCUUGACCUACAUAAAGGUGACUUUCCCUUGCUUAUGAAAUGAAAUACGGUUUAGUAUCCUACUUUUCUGUGUUCUUAGAGUGAUUCUGCCCUACACCCUACUCUUAUAUCAAAUAUUUCAACUGUCAAGGGUUCUUCAACGGGAACCCGGGGGGGGGGGGGCAAUGAUUAACACGCACACAUUUGAUCAGGAAGUCUGUCAUUGAGUCAAAUAAUUCAAUUGUCAAGGCUUCUUCUAAGUGAACGCAGUGGGGAUGGUUUCGAUUCCGGGAAUGGGGGAGGGGGUGGUGGAUGGCCGAAUGGUAAGCAUGUGCGUGCGGUAUCAUAGGCCUGUCAUUGAGUCAACUGGCGUGGUUUCGAAUCCCCGGUUGUACGUGACAAGGAGUAGGGUCGCCUGUCCAAUCUUGUGGGUUUUCUACGGGACCUACGGUUUCCUCCCACUGCUAAAGACCCCUAUGCGCAACGAAUUAUUGAAAUAAAAUUAAACCAUAUGUUAAUCCCGAAAUGACCUAGUUUGUGUCAAGUGGACGUUAAACCCCAUUUCUCUCUCUCUCUCUUUCGAUUCCGGGCUUGUACCCAAUUAUCCCUUGCCAUAUCCAAGACUACUGACAAGUGGGAACUAUGCCGGAAAAUCCAGUUGAAAUUUCUCGGCCAACACCUUAUACUCACUGAACCACUGUGGCUUAUGACUUGUAAUUGUAUAUAAAUUUUUUGUGCAUAUGAUAUUUUUUUAUUUCAAUCCUAUAAUCUUGAUGCUUUGCUUCUUUUAUUUACAAAAUAUUCAUUUUGUUUGGGUUUUUGUAAUGAGGAAAAGGUUUUACAUCAUUUUAUUUCUCCUGCAAAAUAGUGCAUUUUUCUUUUGUUAGUUAUUUCUAUAUGUCUCACAAAUCACUUGUAGUGUGAUUUUGUAGCACUUUUCAGUUUUUGAAAUUGUUUCAAUUUAGUGCAUAAUUAAUCUUAGUGCUUGGUUUGGAUGUUAUUAAAUUUAGAUAUUAUUUGAAUUAUAUAUUUUGGAGUAUGGGGUAGGGAUACUGUGUACAUAUCUUUAUAUUCUCAGUUCUUGUUUUGGGGUAAAGAACAAUUUAUAUAGCUAUUUUAUAUUUUGUGAUAGGUAAAGUGUGUGGGGUUAAGAACAAUUUAAAUAGCUAUGUUAUAUUUUGUGAUGGGUAAAGUGGUGUGUGUGUGUGUGUGGGGGGGGGGGUCAUUAU